rnacentral:lncRNA from 1 species
AAGCCCUGAAGCUCAUUGUAAAACGCACGGUAAAGAUUCCCCAUCAAGAACUCCGGCGCAUCGGGGCCGUUAAACCCAUCAUAAAUCCCAACAAACAGCCACCCUUGCUCCUCCGAAACCACCACAUGUACACGGUCCUCUCCGGCUUUGCCGAGAGCCCACUGGACAUUGCACUCGUUGCUCCUCCCCUGCUGCUCGUGCUCCUCCCCGUUCGCCGCCGGCCCCUCCUUCCGGCCGGCGAAGUUAUUCAGCACCGGGACCACCC